CAGGCUGGUCUCAAACUCCUGAGUCGAAUGAUCCACCUGCCUCAGCCUCCCAAAGCGCUGGGAUUAGAGGCGUCAGCCACUACACCCGGCCCCAGCAGUACAAUCUGGUAACUCGAAAAAGAACUGGCACCUCAUGAAAACAGAAACGGCCAAUGAACUGAAAAGACGCUCAGCCUUAGCAGACCCAGGAGUUGGUAUGAUGAAAUAUUCAGCAUUGUAAACAGUGUGCACACAAACACGUAUGUCUCGACUGAGUACUUAUUCAGCAUGCCUGGCUGGUGAGAGAAUAGCAGCCUUUGGAAAGCAGAGGGUGAUCUUCGAUAAGAGGCUGGACCACUUGCUGGAAAACCUUCAAAACAGGAAGCGGCCACUAGACUCAAGUCACAUUCCUGCUGGAGGCUGGACGUGAUCCCCCAGAGUCCGACAGUCUUAGUCAACACUCAAGUGAAGGGCAGCCAGACUUGCCGGCGGAAUGAAUCUGGCUCAGGUGACUAAAGAAGGGGCCAUGCUAUUUGCCAAGACACAGCUACAGGAAGAGGAGCCAGUGGGAGGCCCUCCCAAUCCCGAAGAGAUUAAGAGUCUAGCACCUUUUAAACAUCCGAAUAGGUCUUUAAACAAACUCAACCAAUUGUCAACCAGAAAGUGUUUAAAUUCACCUAUGGCCUGGAAGUCCCACUUUGAGUUAUCCCAGCUUUCUGGACCAAACCAAUGUAUUUCUUCAAUGUAUUUGAUUGAUGUCUCAUGCCCCUGUAGAAGGUAUAAAACCCGGCCACCUUGGACACAUGUUCUCAGAACCUCCUG